rnacentral:rRNA from 1 species
AUUAACGCUAGCGGCAGGCAUAAUACAUGCAAGUUGAACGGCAGCACAGGUAGCAAUACCGGGUGGCGAGUGGCGCACGGGUGCGUAACACGUAUGCAACCUACCCUAUACAGGCGAAUAACCUUUAGAAAUGAGGGCUAAUACGCCGUGGUAUUAUCUUGGGGCAUCUUGAGAUAAUUAAAGAUUAUCGGUAUAGGAUGGGCAUGCGUCCCAUUAGUUAGUUGGUAGGGUAACGGCCUACCAAGGCUAUGAUGGGUAGGG